GCGAAAGUGGCGGAAUGGUAUACGCGCUACCUUGAGGUGGUAGUGGGAGAAAUCCCGUAGGGGUUCAAGUCCCCUCUUUCGCA
rnacentral:tRNA from 1 species